rnacentral:rRNA from 1 species
UCGCAUCUACCGAUUGGAUGGUCCGGUGAAGUUUUCUGACCGCUGCUGCCCGGUGGGCAACUACCAGGCGGCGGUGGGAAGUUACCUAAACCUUAUCAUUUAGAGGAAGGAG